UACGUAGGGAGCAAGCGUUGUCCGGAAUCAUUGGGCGUAAAGCGCGCGUAGGCGGCCUCGUAAGUCCGUUGUGAAAGUCAAAGGCUCAACCUUUGAAAGCCGGUGGAUACUGUCUAGCUAGAGUCCGGAAGAGGCGAGUGGAAUUCCUGGUGUAGCGGUGGAAUGCGCAGAUAUCAGGAGGAACACCAACGGCGAAGGCAGCUCGCUGGGACGGUACUGACGCUAAGGCGCGAAAGCGUGGGGAGCGAACAGG
rnacentral:rRNA from 1 species